rnacentral:rRNA from 1 species
GAUGAACGCUGGCGGCGUGCCUAAUACAUGCAAGUCGAGCGAACAGACGAGGAGCUUGCUCCUCUGACGUUAGCGGCGGACGGGUGAGUAACACGUGGAUAACCUACCUAUAAGACUGGGAUAACUUCGGGAAACCGGAGCUAAUACCGGAUAAUAUAUUGAACCGCAUGGUUCAAUAGUGAAAGACGGUUUUGCUGUCACUUAUAGAUGGAUCCGCGCCGCAUUAGCUAGUUGGUAAGGUAACGGCUUACCAAGGCAACGAUGCGUAGCCGACCUGAGAGGGUGAUCGGCCACACUGGAACUGAGACACGGUCCAGACUCCUACGGGAGGCAGCAGUAGGGAAUCUUCCGCAAUGGGCGAAAGCCUGACGGAGCAACGCCGCGUGAGUGAUGAAGGUCUUCGGAUCGUAAAACUCUGUUAUUAGGGAAGAACAAAUGUGUAAGUAACUAUGCACGUCUUGACGGUUCCUAACCAGAAAGCCACGGCUAACUACGUG